rnacentral:piRNA from 1 species
UGUCUUUUGUGUUUCAUCAGCCUGUAGG